UCCAAAGAAAAUCAAAGGUUGAUAUUUAAAAAGACUAAGUCUCUUGGAUUGUGUUUCUUUAGAGACUAGAGAUGAGUUCUUUUAAAAUCAAUGGCUAAGAUGUAAUCUUGAAAUUUGGCAUGAAUUGAGUAGAAAAGCUCUAUAAAUAGGGAGUUGAGAAUUUAGUUCAAGGUUUUCCCACUUAUGAAGAGAAAGAAAGCAAGAAGAGCUAAGGUUGGGAGAAGGAAGAAAAAAGACAAGAAAGGUGAUUAAAAGCCAAAGAGAGAGUCUUGGCAAGUGAAGGCUUGAAGCUUCAAGAAAUAAAGAGGUCAUUUGACCUCUAUGUAGGUGGAGAAUCAUCUAAGGGAAAAGGAGUUUUGCAAGAUUAAAGGUAAUGAAGAAAGGAGAAAUGCAUGUGAAGUGUAUGUAUUUUGUGGGUUUAGUGAGAAAUGUUGUAUUUAUUUUGUUAAAUAUGUAAUGAAUGCUUAAU